UGGCGGACGGGUGAGUAACGCGUGAGUAACCUGCCUUUCAGAGGGGGAUAACGUCUUGAAAAGGACGCUAAUACCGCAUAAUAUCUUUUUACCGCAUGGUAGAGAGAUCAAAGGAGCAAUCCGCUGAAAGAUGGACUCGCGUCCGAUUAGCCAGUUGGCGGGGUAACGGCCCACCAAAGCGACGAUCGGUAGCCGGACUGAGAGGUUGAACGGCCACAUUGGGACUGAGACACGGCCCAGACUCCUACGGGAGGCAGCAG
rnacentral:rRNA from 1 species